AACUUUUAAUGCAUUAAAUACAAUUAAGAAACUCUUUCUUUUCUUUUUACGACUUAAUUGAUAUAGAUAUAGAUAUGUUUCUUUUUAAGUGAAUACAUGAAUCAUGUCUUAAUGGAUUAAGUGGAUCAAAUGACCCUUUAUGCAUUCACACAUCUAUAGCCUUAAUGACUUAAACUUUUAGAAACUAGUUUUUCAAUUAUUUUUACAAAACAUCAUUUUUUUUUGUACAUGAAUCAUGUCUUAAUGGAUUAAGUGGAUCAAAUGACCCUUUAUGCAUUCACACAUCCAUAGCCUUAAUGAUUUAAACUCUUAGAAGCUUUAAACUCUUAGAAACUAGCUUUUUCAACUACUUUUACAAAAUGUUCUAUUUUUUUAUACAUGAAUCAUGUCUUAAUGGAUUAAGUGGAUCAAAUGACCCUUUUUGCGUUCAUAUAUCCACAGCCUUAAUGACUUAAACUCUUAGAAACUAGCUUUUUCAACUACUUUUACAAAACAUUCUAUUUUUAUACAUGAAUCAUGUCUUAAUGGAUUAAGUGAAUCAAAUGACCCUUUAUGCAUUCACACAUCCAUAGCCUUAAUGACUUAAACUCUUAGAAACUAGUUUUUCAACUACUUUUACAAUUAUCA
rnacentral:lncRNA from 1 species